rnacentral:tRNA from 2 species
GCGGAAGUGGCGGAAUUGGUAGACGCGCAGGAUUCAGGUUUCUGUAACUUCGGUUGUGAGAGUUCAAGUCUCUCCUUCCGCACCA